rnacentral:rRNA from 1 species
CCUACGGGAGGCAGCAGUGGGGAAUAUUGGACAAUGGGCGGAAGCCUGACCCAGCGACGCCGCGUGAGGGAAGAAGGCUUUCGGGUUGUAAACCUCUUUUAUCAGGGAAGAAAAAAGUGACGGUACCUUAUGAAUAAGCCUCGGCUAACUACGUGCCAGCAGCCGCGGUAAUACGUAGGAGGCGAGCGUUAUCCGGAAUGACUGGGUGUAAAGGGUGCGUAGGUGGGUUUGCAAGUUAGUAGGGUAACGCCAAGGCCCAACCCCGGAACUACUACUAAAACUGUUUGACUUGAGUGCAGGAGAGGUAAGCGGAAUUCCUAGUGUAGCGGUGGAAUGCGUAGAUAUUAGGAGGAACACCAGUGGCGAAGGCGGCUUGCUAGACUGUAACUGACGUUGAGGCACGAAAGCGUGGGGAGCAAACAGGAUUAGAUACCCGGGUAGUC